UCUUCAAUAUAGUGCUCUAUUUAUAUUUUCAUAUUGUGAGGAUAUAAUAUAUACAUGUAUAAAAUAAAUAUUUGCCCCCCUCCUCUGCUAUUUUUACCGUACUGGUGUCCUGUUGUGAGGCAGCUCUGUGUGAACACACAACUGGGUAAGUGGGUCAGUGGGCCAGGCUUUAUGUACAGUGGGCCAUGUGUGUGCAUACACUAUAGUGGAGAGGUAGAGUUGGUUCAGCCAGCCACCAGUAUAAUAGCUUAGCAGGAAUUAUAUCUCCAACCCAACAACUAUGUAUCAUAGGUGUUCGCUCUGGAGGUUCCUAAAGUACCACACCGACUAGUAGACUGUUAUUUUGUGAGACCAGUCCUGUGCGCCUUCUGUAAAGACUAUAUCUGGGGUCCCGGAAAAGUGGGUAAACGAUGUGAAG